rnacentral:rRNA from 1 species
GACGAACCGUGCGAACGUUAUUCGGAAUCACUGGGCUUAAAGCGCGUGUAGGCGGGCCGUCGCGUCGGCUGCUGAAAUCCCCCGGCUCAACCGGGGAAGUGGCACCGAUACGGGCGGCCUGGAGGGGGGUAGGGGGGCCUGGAACUUCCGGUGGAGCGGUGAAAUGCGCAGAUAUCGGGAGGAACACCGGUGGCGAAGGCGGUUCUCUGGGCCUGUACUGACGCUGAGGAGCGAAAGCGUGGGGAGCGAACAGG